GAUGAACGCUGGCGGCAUGCCUAACACAUGCAAGUCGGACGGGAAGUGGUGUUUCCAGGGGCGGUCGGGUGAGUAACGCGUAAGAACCUGCCAUAGGGAGGGGAACAACAGCUGGAAGCGGCUGAUAAUACCCAAUAGGCUGAGGUGCAAAAGGAGGAAUCCGCCCAAGGAGGGGCUGGCGCCUGAUUAGUUAGUUGGUGAGGCAAUGGCUUACCAAGGCGACGAUGAGUAGCUGGUCCGAGAGGAAGAUCAGCCACACUGGGACUGAGACACGGCCCAGGCUCCUUCGGGAGGCAGCAGUGGGGAAUUUUCCGCAAUGGGCGAAAGCCUGACGGGGCAAUGCCGCGGGAAGGCAGAAGGCCCACGAGUCAUGAACUUCAGUCCUCGGAGAAGAAAAAAUGACGGUAUCUGAGGAAUAAGCAUCGGCUAACUCUGUG
rnacentral:rRNA from 1 species